rnacentral:rRNA from 1 species
UNUGAAGUUAAAGGCUGUGGCUUAACCAUAGUACGCUUUGGAAACUGUUUAACUNGAGUGCAGAAGGGGAGAGUGGAAUUCCAUGUGUAGCGGUGAAAUGCGUAGAUAUAUGGAGGANCACCGGUGGCGAAAGCGGCUCUCUGGUCUGUAACUGACGCUGAGGCUCGAAAGCGUGGGGAGCGAACAGGAUUAGAUACCCUGGUAGUCCACGCCGUAAACGAUGAGUGCUAGGUGUUAGGCCCUUUCCGGGGCUUAGUGCCGCAGCUAACGCAUUAAGCACUCCGCCUGGGGAGUACGACCGCAAGGUUGAAACUCAAAGGAAUUGACGGGGGCCCGCACAAGCGGUGGAGCAUGUGGUUUAAUUCGAAGCAACGCGAAGAACCUUACCAGGUCUUGACAUCCCGAUGCCCGCUCUAGAGAUAGAGUUUUACUUCGGUACAUCGGUGACAGGUGGUGCAUGGUUGUCGUCAGCUCGUGUCGUGAGAUGUUGGGUUAAGUCCCGCAACGAGCGCAACCCUUAUUGUUAGUUGCCAUCAUUCAGUUGGGCACUCUAGCGAGACUGCCGGUAAUAAACCGGAGGAAGGUGGGGAUGACGUCAAAUCAUCAUGCCCCUUAUGACCUGGGCUACACACGUGCUACAAUGGCUGGUACAACGAGUCGCAAGUCGGUGACGGCAAGCUAAUCUCUUAAAGCCAGUCUCAGUUCGGAUUGUAGGCUGCAACUCGCCUACAUGAAGUCGGAAUCGCUAGUAAUCGCGGAUCAGCACGCCGCGGUGAAUACGUUCCCGGGCCUUGUACACACCGCCCGUCACACCACGAGAGUUUGUAACACCCGAAGUCGGUGAGGUAACCUUUUAGGAGCCAGCCGCC